rnacentral:tRNA from 1 species
ACUUGGCUGGCUCAGUCAGUAGGUAGAGCAUGUGAUUUUUUAUCUCAGGGUCAUGAGUUCAAGCCCCAUGUUGGGUG